GUACUCGCUUCGGCAGCACAUACACUAAAACUGGAACGAUACAGAGAUUACAAUGUCCCCUGUGCAAGAAUGACACGCAAGUUCGUGAAGCAUUCCAUAUUUUU
ensembl:snRNA U6 U6 spliceosomal RNA